rnacentral:rRNA from 1 species
AUUGAACGCUGGCGGCAUGCCUUACACAUGCAAGUCGAACGGCAGCGGGGGAGAAGCUUGCUUUUCCUGCCGGCGAGUGGCGAACGGGUGAGUAAUACAUCGGAACGUGCCCUGUAGUGGGGGAUAACUAGUCGAAAGAUUAGCUAAUACCGCAUACGACCUGAGGGUGAAAGUGGGGGACCGCAAGGCCUCAUGCUAUAGGAGCGGCCGAUGUCUGAUUAGCUAGUUGGUGGGGUAAAGGCCUACCAAGGCGACGAUCAGUAGCUGGUCUGGGAGGACGAUCAGCCACACGGGGACUGAGACACGGCCCAGACUCCGACGGGAGGCAGCAGUGGGGAACUUUGGACAAUGGGCGAAAGCCUGAUCCAGCAAUGCCGCGUGUGUGAAGAAGGCCUUCGGGUUGUAAAGCACUUUUGUCCGGAAAGAAACGGCUCUGGUUAAUACCUGGGGUCGAUGACGGUACCGGAAGAAUAAGGACCGGCUAACUACGUGCCAGCCGCCGCCGUAA